AGUACGACUUCUCCAGUACCCGACAGACGAGAUGGCAGAGAAGUUGGAAAUGCCAAGCUCAGCCUCAACUGACGAUGAUGUUCCCUUACAUUCCAGCCUUUGGACUAAAGAUGUAAUGGAUAAACUGGGCUUAGUGGUAAGACAUGAACGCUCACCAGAGAAUAUCAUCAAGGAAUGGGGCUUCAACUGUUCAUUCCCAAAGCUGCAACUUGUUUAAAGAACAUAGAUUUUACAGCAUUAGAAGAAAUUAGGGAUGCUAUAGGCCAAUCCGAAAACAUGAGUUAUCUUUCCUUGAUCCGGGACGUAGUGCGCUUGCGUAACAGUAGUUUAAGACUUCCGGGUAGUAUAUUCGCGAAGCGUCAUUAUCAACCGUGCAGAAGGCCGCAAAGAUAUUGCCGUAUAAUUUUACAGUAAUCACGCCAACAAAUAUUUUAACAUUAAUAAAAAAAUCCCAAUGCAUAGGUUUACUUCAUACACGUGAAAAUAACCAACUUUGCAUGUAAAAGUAAUAGAAAAUUAAUUUUGUAAGUAGAGGAGGACCCCCCCCCCCUCCCCCGAUAGAAUGUUCUAUCGUUAAAGUGAAGGGCCUUUCCCGAGACGCAGUUAGAUUAUUCUAACUACCCCCCCCCCCAUUUUCCAAGAUUGUACGUGUUUUAUGACUGAAAUUAGUAUAUAUCAUACAUUGCAUACAUUUCCUCAGAAUCUUUAGCCCGUGUUUUAAUACAGUCAAAUUUAUAAUAAAACAUCAGAAGUUACUUGUUCAAUAUCAAUGUAGUACAUUCAGCGAUAAAAGUUCUGCCACGAUGUACGUCUAGGUAUGUCGGACUGACACCUCUGGAUUCUGAAAAUGUCCAUCUCUUCGAUUGGCGAGUAAAAUUUAUCCCAGCCUGUACUUGUAAGUGAGAGGCCACUGACAGAUUUCCAGCUGUCUGCCCACAAAUUUUAUACAGUUACAAAUACAAGUAUAACCAUAAAGAAAUUCGUCGUCACAAACCUUCUACACAUGCAAUGUUUUGAAAAUAAAAUAACUUAUAAUUAAACGCCCUGAGUGUGUACCUGUCAAUACUGCCAUUUUGGGUAAAAUAUUUGGAGUUUUACUCAAAUUAUUCAGUAAAUUUGUGGCGAAAAGGGGGGUCUAAAUCUGUCAUUGCAAUUUCUGUUAUGACACGAUACGUGCCUAUACAUAAUCAAGUACAUUUCAAGGGGACUAAAACGAAUAAAAGAGGGAAGAUACAGAGACGUCAAAAGCAUUCUAUUGGGGGGUUAAACUUAUCUUUCCCCAGAGAGUACUUUUGAGAAUAUGGCACACACACCCCCCUCCCGGGAUCACACAGAUCUAUGAAAAAUAAUUUAUAUCAAUCAAGCAAUAUUGAACAAAAUUAAUUUUAAAAAAAUAAUAAAAAACCUAUUUUUCUGCAUUUUAAACAUAUCAGUUGAUAUUAACAAUUCCAGCUUAUGCUGCUGUGUACAAAUGAUUUGCACACAGAAUGAACACGUCCAUGUACUUUGGAGAAAGUUACCCAAACAUUGCAGUCUGGUUUAUUUUUGAAAGAGUCGAUUGGUAGUGGUGGAAUAAUUUUAGCCCUGAUAAAACAAUGAGAGCGUUGAUUUCCUAAUUUAAUUGAUUUUUUUUACUAUCUUGGAAAGGGGGGGGGGUGUUAUGCAAGAUCUUUGCACGUGUCGAUCCUUGUAAAAACCCGAGCUUUGAGUUGAUGAGAUGCCAUCAUCUCUUGAGAAUCAGAAGUUCUGUUCUGAUUUCAUACAAAAUAAUUAUGUCAGUCGUUAUUGGAGACAUAAGUAAACAAAUGAAUGUCUGCGUGAUUUCCAAUUUAAUUUUUAAACCAACCCCCGAAAAAUCACACCCGACUCGAUCAAGAAAUUCGUUUUUGUUUCCAUUAACAUUUUCUUACUCUCUCGUACAAAUGAUUUCAACUGUUUUCGAGUUUGAACAGCACCCAUACUAAUAUAACUUAUAAUAUAUGCGAAGUAUGAGUGUGUUACUACCCGGAAGUUAUCAUAUUCACACUAAAUGUAAGAAUACAAAGAGAGAUAACUCACGUUUUCGGAAAGGCCUAUAAAAUUGGACCAACUUCCUACACAUCUGCUUAAACUGAUAAAUCGUGACGCAGAUUUUCAGUGUCAAGGAUCACAUUUGGCUAUUCACAUUUUGUAGGUUUCGAAAUCGUGGUGAAGAUUUCCUGUUUACAUUGACAUGUGUAAUUGAAAAUAUGGAAGAGGACAAAGAUAUUCCAGAGUCACAGUAUCAGAUCCUGUUCGACAAAUUUCUGCAGAUGUUUGGAAUAAAAACUAUAGAAAAAAGGGUAUGGUGCAGCGCCAUGCUAGUUUGCUUUAGAUUUAACACUAUGUUCAUCACACCCCUGAAUUGGAAGAGGCAGUCACUUUCGCUAAAUGCAUAAACCAUUUAUGAAGACAAAGAAAUCCCUGCUGAUGGGUAAAACAGUUCAUUCUCAACCCGACUUGUUGUGUUUCACACCGGAUC